rnacentral:piRNA from 1 species
UUGACUGGCUGAAAUAAAAUC